UACGGGGGGGGCAAGCGUUGUUCGGAAUUACUGGGCGUAAAGGGCUCGUAGGUGGCCAACUAAGUCAGACGUGAAAUCCCUCGGCUUAACCGGGGAACUGCGUCUGAUACUGGAUGGCUAGAGUUUGGGAGAGGGAUGCGGAAUUCCAGGUGUAGCGGUGAAAUGCGUAGAUAUCUGGAGGAACACCGGUGGCGAAGGCGGCAUCCUGGACCAACACUGACGCUGAGGCGCGAAAGCGUGGGGAGCAAACAGG
rnacentral:rRNA from 1 species